rnacentral:rRNA from 1 species
CCUACGGGCGGCAGCAGUGGGGAAUAUUGCGCAAUGGGCGAAAGCCUGACGCAGCGACGCCGCGUGAGGGAUGAAGGUCUUCGGAUCGUAAACCUCUGUCAGCAGGGAAGAACGGUCACUGUGCUAAUCAGCAGUGAAUUGACGGUACCUGCAAAGGAAGCACCGGCUAACUCCGUGCCAGCAGCCGCGGUAAUACGGAGGGUGCGAGCGUUAAUCGGAAUUACUGGGCGUAAAGCGCUCGUAGGCGGUAUGUCAAGUCAAGGGUGAAAUCCCCGGGCUCAACGUGGGAACUGCAUUUGAAACUGGCAGACUGGAGUGUGUGAGAGGAGAGUGGAAGUCCAGGUGUAGGAGUGAAAUGCGUAGAUAUGUGGAGGAACAUCAGUGGCGAAGGCGACUAUCUGGCACAUAACUGACGCUGAGGAGCGAAAGCGUGGGGAGCAAACAGGAUUAGAUACCCGUGUAGUC